rnacentral:rRNA from 1 species
UACGAAGGGGGCUAGCGUUGUUCGGAAUUACUGGGCGUAAAGGGCGCGUAGGCGGUUUGACGAGUCAGGUGUGAAAUUCCCGGGCUUAACCUGGGGGCUGCACUUGAUACUGUCAGGCUUGAAUUCGGGAGAGGGAUGCGGAAUUCCAGGUGUAGCGGUGAAAUGCGUAGAUAUCUGGAGGAACACCGGUGGCGAAGGCGGCAUCCUGGACCGGCAUUGACGCUGAGGCGCGAAAGCUAGGGGAGCAAACAGGG